rnacentral:sRNA from 1 species
CGCGGGCGGGGAGCGCGCGGGGAGGGGGACGCGGCUCGGGGCGCUCACCAGCCCCGCUCCCCAGGGCUCACCCCAACACCCUGCACUGGGUCGAUGAGGCCGGGAAGGUCGGAGAGCAGCUGCCGCUGGAGGACCCUGACGUCUACUGCCCCUACAGCGCCAUCGGCAACGUCACGGGAGAGCUGGUGUACGCCCACUACGGGCGGCCCAAAGACCUGCAGGACCUGCGGGCCAGGGGCGUGGACCCAGUGGGCCGCCUGCUGCUGGUGCGCGUGGGGGUGAUCAGCUUCGCCCAGAAGGAAGCUCAAAGGCCCUGUGGCCCCCCAAGAAUGGCAGGGGAGCCUCCUAGGCUCCCCUUAUCACCUGGGCCCUGGGCCACGACUGCGGCUAGUGGUCAACAAUCACAGGACCUCCACCCCCAUCAACAACAUCUUCGGCUGCAUCGAAGGCCGCACAGAGCCAGGCUUCCGGCCCCGCAGAAGUCUCCUCUUCAUCAGCUGGGACGGUGGUGACUUUGGAAGCGUGGGCUCCACGGAGUGGCUAGAGGGCUACCUCAGCGUGCUGCACCUCAAAGCUGUAGUGUACGUGAGCCUGGACAACGCAGUGCUGGGGGAUGACAAGUUUCAUGCCAAGACCAGCCCCCUUCUGACAAGUCUCAUUGAGAGUGUCCUGAAGCAGGUGGAUUCUCCCAACCACAGUGGGCAGACUCUCUAUGAACAGGUGGUGUUCACCAAUCCCAGCUGGGAUGCUGAGGUGAUCCGGCCCCUACCCAUGGACAGCAGUGCCUAUUCCUUCACGGCCUUUGUGGGAGUCCCUGCCGUCGAGUUCUCCUUUAUGGAGGACGACCAGGCCUACCCGUUCCUGCACACAAAGGAGGACACUUAUGAGAAC